rnacentral:rRNA from 1 species
GAUGAACGCUGGCGGCGUGCCUAAUACAUGCAAGUCGAGCGAACGGACGAGAAGCUUGCUUCUCUGAUGUUAGCGGCGGACGGGUGAGUAACACGUGGAUAACCUACCUAUAAGACUGGGAUAAAUUCGGGAAACCGUAGCUAAUACCGGAUAAUAUUUUGAACCGCAUGGUUCAAAAGUGAAAGACGGUCUUGCUGUCACUUAUAGAUGGAUCCGCGCUGCAUUAGCUAGUUGGUAAGGUAACGGCUUACCAAGGCAACGAUGCAUAGCCGACCUGAGAGGGUGAUCGGCCACACUGGAACUGAGACACGGUCCAGACUCCUACGGGAGGCAGCAGUAGGGAAUCUUCCGCAAUGGGCGAAAGCCUGACGGAGCAACGCCGCGUGAGUGAUGAAGGUCUUCGGAUCGUAAAACUCUGUUAUUAGGGAAGAACAUAUGUGUAAGUAACUGUGCACAUCUUGACGGUACCUAAUCAGAAAGCCACGGCUAACUACGUG